UCAGCCCGUUCCGAACCCACUGGGCGAUAUUUGCGGAGGGAGCUCCCUCUCUGUGCCAGGCACCGGGUCCGGAUCUGGGGAUUCCAGAUGCGUAAGGUACAGGCUCUUGUCCCCGAACAUCGCACAGCCUGGCGGGGGAGACACAAGGAAGCAGAGAGUGGCAGUGGCCCGUGGCGGGCGCUGAAUGCGCACAUAGGCAGGAGGGACACUGCCAGAGCAGCGUGCAGAGCCAGGCAAGCUGAGGCCUGAAGAAGAGCAGGAGGAGCCAGGAGCAGUAUAAGGGUGCUCCGAGCGGAGGCAGAGGUGUGCACAGGCCUGGAGGAAAGCAAUCCCAUGUCCCUGAUGACUACCAACAGCCACCUUGUAAUCAAGAAGAGGGAAUGUUCCUGAGGAUAAAGCCAACAUGAAGGAUGGAGAUGGAGGACCUGAAUCCUUGGGGAGCUCACUGAGCCCUGAUGCUACAAUGUCCAUGGACAUCCUUCUUCUGGACCUUCAGCUCUGUGAGAUGUGUCCCUAUUGGGAAGGCAGCUUCUGGGUACAAUGGCAUGAGGGGUUUGGGUUAAAGUAGCACUACGGCCUCAGUUUCCCCUUCAGAAAGAGAGAAUCCUAGUGAGCAAGGAUACACCCUCCUCUUACUAUUGAUCCCAACAUGGCUGUUGAUAUUUCUGACCCUUAAAGGCCCCCAGGAGCCAUAUCUCAGAAGGGACAGCAGCCGCUGCAAACUUCUGCCAUAAGUUUCUCUCCACCUGAGAAAAGUUUAUGGGGCUCAAAGUGGGUCUAACAGAAAGGCCAUGAGUCUAGGUAUUUAAAAGAACUUGAGGUUGAGUAUCACUGGGUAAGCCAAAAGUAGACCCACAGGCCCAAGCCACAGAAAAGCCAGCACGGCAGAAUCCCAGCCUGUUAUGCACAUCUGGAAGGGACUUGGGAAUUACCCCAUCCAGUUCCCUUCUGUAUCAGUCAGAAUAAGCACUGUUAUGCUACAGUAACAAACAACCCCCCAAAUCUUAGUAGCUUGAAGCCACAUCAUUUAUUUCUCACUCGUGUUUAAAUACCUAUUGCAGGUACUCAUUAUAGUCACUCAGGCACGCAGGCUGAAGGGAGCUCCAUAUCAGCCAGUACUCCCACAAUUGCCAAGGGAGAGAAAUGAGAACGUGGCAGAUCCCAAACUAACCAUCCCUUAAAGCUGCUCCUGGAAAAUCUCUUCCAUUCAUGUUUCCCUGGCCAGAACAAGUCACAUGGCCAUGCCUGUGUUCACCAGGGUUGGGACGUAGAAUCCUCCUGCAGGGAGGGUCGGUGAAGGGAGGGACACUGAAUAUGGGGGAACAGUACUACUGUCGCCCACACCUGGUUUGCAGUCUAUGUGGCCACCCUGAUUCCACCUGGGCUCCCAGAGGAACCUCUCUAUGAGAGCAGAUCUGACUCUUCCCAUUCCCAGCUCCUCUCCUUUUAUCCUCUACUUAUUCAUUUGUCCAUAAACAUUCACCAAGUACUGACCACUAUGCCAAAUGCUGGGUAUGAAAGUGUAUCCAAGACCCCUCUAUGAGUCCCUUAAGGGGCAGGACUACCUCUUGUUCAUACCUAAUGACUCCCAGCUCCAGCAGCCAGCCAAGUGCUUCACAGCUCAGGACCUCUGCCUAAAGCCCUGACAUCCUCCCUCCUCUCACUUGCAGCCUGGUUCCUCCCUGACUUCUGCAAGCUGUGCUGUGCCAUUCCUGGACACUCCACCAUCACAGCAGCUAUGCAAUGUAUUGUUAUUACACGGGCUUGUUCACUUGUCUAUCUGCCUCAGCAGACUGUGGGCUCCUCAAGGACUAUCGUGGGUAGCCCAUUGUGAAAAAUGGCAACAAUUUAAAUGUUCAACCAUAACGAACUGUUAAAUGUGUCAUGGCCAUUUAUGUUCUGGAAUAUUACAAAACCAUUAAAAAUAAUGGUGUAAUACUCUGAAUUAGUAAGUCUCCUUUAGAACUCCAACCUCAGAUAUAGCGGGGCAGCCUUAUCUGUGGCAAUAACCUGAGCGUCCACCGACAGGGUACUGGUGAGAUGCACUGGAGUCCAGAAUUGUAUCGAAUGCAGCUGUUAAAAAAGAAUGAGACUGUUCUGUGCAUGCUGCUAUGGGACUAUCUCCAAGACACACUUGAAAGGGAAAAAAGUAAGGUGCAAAGCAGAGUGAAUAGUGUGCUAACAUUGUUAAACAAAACAGAUGCAUGGAAAAAAUGUACAUAGGAUGUCUCUGGACAGAUACAAAAGAAACUGGUAUCAGUGGUUGCCUCUGGAGUGGGGAACCAGCUAGGAAACUUACCUUUUCUGUCUACCCUUUGUACAGAUGGCAUAUUUUACAAUGUGCUUUAAAAAAAAAAAGUCAGGAAGUAAACGUAACAUUCUGGUAAAGCAUUCAAGAUAUCUUGUUAUCUUGAAGUGAUAAAUUUAGAUUUCAAAAUUGUAGAUACACUAUGACCACUAUUUUUCUAGAGAAAAAUGUACACUGCAUCUCAAUGUAUAGAAGUGUUGCAUUGUGUGCUAUUUUAAUAAAUUUAUUUAUUUAUUUAUUUUU